AUAUUUUGAAAUCAUCUGUUGAUUUUCUGUGCUGCAAGACCAGCAUGUGAAUCAUGUCAGCAACUAUACUCCAUGUUUCAAAAACAUGUAAAAAUGUUACAGUUCUUCAAACAGAAGAAGCAGAGAUCAGAUCCAGAGUGGAGUGCUGGACAAAGAACACAAAGCUAAAUGAAACUGCCAAAGCUGUCACGUGUUUCAACCGAAUAGCCACAAUUCUGUGGUGCUGUGCAAUACUUUCCCUUUCCUCUCUCCCCACCUUAGAUGUCACAUUUCCUUACACUGACAUGUGGUUGGAGUGUGGUUGGAAUGUGGUUGGAGACUCCUGGCACAGAUUGACAUUGGUCCACUGAAGGGAAGCAGCUGGGAACCACUUUCCACCAGGACAAAGUUGCUGUAUCCAGAGGGACACCAAAGGCAUUACCUAUCUGCUCAUGCCAGUUUCUUUCUGACAGAAGACACAGCUGACCAGCAAACCUUGGUGUUUUUGAAAGGGAUUUCCUCUUUUGGGCUCUCUGAAUGAUUUUGAGGCAACAUCAGGCUAAGAAGACCUCUGCCAUCUGACAUAAUUUUACUUUGUCAUUUUUGGGGCACUUGAUUGAUCUUAAGAUAUUAAUUUUUGUAUGUAAUAAGGCUAAAAUGUAGAAAACAUGGUACUGGUUCUUUUUCUAGUUCUUAUGACUGCUCUUGCUUUCAGUUCUGUAGAAGAAAUCUAAUGCUUCAGACUGGGCUAUUCUAUUGAACUUCUAAAAAUUGCCUUCUCCCACUGUCAACAAGUAUGAGCUUGAGACCUGCCCUUGGGUACAUUCUCAGGGCUGCAAAUUUGCCCUGGGCACAGCAGUGAGGAAAUCUCAGCUUGCAGUGUGUGCAUCUCCCCCCAUCAAACUGAAAGCCAGGCCAGUUCACUAGACAUUAAAAAAUGUAGAUUUUCUCAAAUCUUGCAAGACAUUUGGAUAAAACCAUGGAGGCAUGGAGUGACUAAUAAAACUGGAUGAGAAGAAAGUGUAUAAAUUUUA
rnacentral:lncRNA from 1 species